CGGAGGAUGCGAGCGUUAUCCGGAUUUAUUGGGUUUAAAGGGUGCGUAGGCGGGAUGUUAAGUCAGCGGUCAAAUUGUGUAGCUCAACUAUACCGAGCCGUUGAAACUGGCGUUCUUGAGUGUAAACGAGGUAGGCGGAAUGUGACGUGUAGCGGUGAAAUGCUUAGAUAUGUCACAGAACCCCGAUUGCGAAGGCAGCUUACUAGGAUACAACUGACGCUGAGGCACGAAAGCGUGGGUAUCAAACAGGAUU
rnacentral:rRNA from 1 species